rnacentral:rRNA from 1 species
GAUGAACGCUGGCGGCGUGCCUAAUACAUGCAAGUCGAGCGAACAGACGAGGAGCUUGCUCCUCUGACGUUAGCGGUGGACGGGUGAGUAACACGUGGAUAACCUACCUAUAAGACUGGGAUAACUUCGGGAAACCGGAGCUAAUACCGGAUAACAUGCUGAACCACAUGGUUCAACAGUGAAAGACGGUCUUGCUGUCGCUGGUGGAUGCAUUCGAGCUUCAUUAGCUAGUGGGUAGGGUAACGGCUUACCAAGGCAAUGACGGGUAGCCGGACUGAGAGGGUGACAGGCCAGAUUGGGAAUGAGAUACGGCCCAGACUCCUACGGGAGGCAGCAGUGGGGAAUAUUGCACAAUGGGCGGAAGCCUGAUGCAGCAAAGCCGCGUGCGGGAUGACGACCUUCGGGUUGUAAACCGCCUUCGCCUGUGACGAAGCGUGAGUGACGGUAAUGGGUAAAGAAGCACCGGCUAACUACGUG